AUUGAACGCUGGCGGCAUGCCUUACACAUGCAAGUCGAACGGUAACGCGGGGCAACCUGGCGACGAGUGGCGAACGGGUGAGUAAUGCAUCGGAACGUGCCCGGUAGUGGGGGAUAACUGCUCGAAAGAGCAGCUAAUACCGCAUACGACCUGAGGGUGAAAGGGGGGAUCGCAAGACCUCUCGCUAUCGGAGCGGCCGAUGUCGGAUUAGCUAGUUGGUGGGGUAAAGGCCUACCAAGGCGACGAUCCGUAGCUGGUCUGAGAGGACGACCAGCCACACUGGGACUGAGACACGGCCCAGACUCCUACGGGAGGCAGCAGUGGGGAAUUUUGGACAAUGGACGCAAGUCUGAUCCAGCCAUGCCGCGUGCGGGAAGAAGGCCUUCGGGUUGUAAACCGCUUUUGUCAGGGAAGAAAUCUUCUGAGUUAAUACCUCGGGAGGAUGACGGUACCUGAAGAAUAAGCACCGGCUAACUACGUGCCAGCAGCCGCCGUAACAC
rnacentral:rRNA from 1 species